AUGAAAGCAGUGAAGUCCUUGCUUUUUCCUUCUCCUCCCCUUCCUCCUCCUCCUUCCUUCCCCUCUCCCAUCUCCCCUUCUCCUCCCCUUCUCUUCUUUCUUUUCCUUCUAGGCUGUUUCCUGGCACAGACAGGGCCCAUGCUCUCUGCUGAGGAUAAAGUGGCUUGCUCCUCGCUGGGAGAAGACUUCUGGGGACUGUUGUUCCAGCAUUUGGAUAAAAUGACAAAAUGAGAUUUUCAAAUCUUCCUUUCACAUUUUCCAGAUAUGAAUGGUACCAGAUUUACCAUUAAAAAAAAAAAAAUCACAGUUGAGCUUCCAACUUGUACUUUUUUUUUUUUUCCAUUAAUGGGUUCUUUCCAAGACAGGAAAUCAACAAGAGAGAAAAAAUUUAUAGCUAGUCUCAGUUAAAGAAUGCCAUUUUGAGCACUGGAUUUUCUUUUCUGCUUUCAAAUACCCACAUUUGUCUUCACAUUUCUUCCCCAAAAUCCUCAUCAUCUUAUUCGACACGGUAGAUGCUUAAUAUGCUGACACUUAUGGGAAGAGAAGGUCUCUCCAGGGAGAGUCAUAGAGUUGUUCUGGGUGACUGCCGGAGCUGCUGACCUGAGCCAUCCUGGUGUUGCCAGGAUGCAGCGUGUCUCCAGUUUCAGUAGAUGAGAGGCUCAGGGGCACCUUGGGCUGGCUUUGUCUAUCCAGAUUUAGAAGAUGGCUUCAAAGAUGGAGCCAAGGCUCCAGAAAGAUCUUUCAUAAGGUUAUCCAUGGAGGUGACUGACUGGAGAAGAUGUCAGGGUCACGCACCUUGUUUUCCUCAAUAAUUUCUCUAUUCACUCCAGACUGUCUUCUUAAACUGUUAAAAUCAAAGAAAGAGUAUUUUUUAAAAUUAUGAUGCUUCUAAUGUACCUUUUGUAUUAUGUUCUGAGAGAGUUAAGAUAGGGAUCAGAUCUUAUAAUUAUACAAGUUAUUGUGUAUAAUUGCAUGAGAUAAACUUUUAAGAGGAGAAGAAAAGGUGGUUUAAUACAUUUCUGUCUCUUAGAAUUUUGGAAUUGUGAGAAGUCACCAAAAGAAGAGAACGUUAUCAUAGACCUUAGGAAUAGUGUUUUUAUUUAUCGUUCUCUUUAUUUUAAAAAUGAAACAGUUGAGAUUUUUCACCAAUAAAAUUGACAAAGAUAAUCUUUAUAUGAUCGUA
rnacentral:lncRNA from 1 species